GUCGCAAAGCUGAUUUACCGGUAGCGACACCUGCCAAUGAAAAAUGGAACAAAGAAAAGGAGGAUUCUUUCGGAAAUUUUCAUAUCGGCAGUAGUGAUUUGCAACAUUUUUAUCGUUUAUUCAAUAGUACAGAUAGAUAUUAGCAGUACACUCGGAGUAGAAGAAAAUCGAUUUCUAAGUGAUUACUACUACUUUUUAUAGUGUAAACUUCGAUUAAACAUGGAAAAUCUUCAGAAAUGUGUGAAAUUUACUAAGAGAGCUAUGAUGAACAAGUUACGGGUCUUGAAGACUCGUUAUAUUUCGCUGGCGCGGGCAAUCCGCGGGCGUAUAGAUUCAAUACGCAACGUACCGGGGAUAGUCAUAAUCGAACUGCUUUCGGAACUAUCUGAAAUUGAGAAAGUACAACGUUAAAUCAUGUCCACGAGAAAAUGUUAAAAGACAUGAUAACACAAUUUAAUUUGAAUAUACCUGGAGUCUUGUGUAUCGAAAAAACUUGAAACAGCUCCAAACAACGAUUUCAGUCCAAUAAUGGAACUUGAAAAGCCUUGUGUUUCUAAGAGUUUUGACGAGACACUAGAAGAAAUGAACGAUUUUCAAUCAAUGUGUACCUUUUAUACUCGUCCAGUAGAUAAUCGGAACUGAUAUGUGCCUGACAACCUCAAAACCGUCGUCCGGGUGCGAACAAAAGCAAGCAAGCGUAAUUGAAGAGUGGUCUUCUUUUACUAACAUUUCUGAUAGUUUGAGAUCAUGCAAGCAAGAUGUAUGGGUACUCGGCGACGGUUUUAGCAGAUGGUGACAUGCAACGUGUGCGAACCUACCUAGCUAUUGGUUGGAAUAUAUUUCUUUUUUUUUUGCUGCAUGUGCAAAAAU